UUGGAGGGCAAGUCUGGUGCCAGCAGCCGCGGUAAUUCCAGCUCCAAUAGCGUAUAUUAAAGUUGUUGCAGUUAAAAAGCUCGUAGUUGAAUUUCGGGGUUAGUAGGUUGGUCAUGCCUCUGGUAUGUACUGGUCUCACUGAUUCCUCCUUCCUUAUGAACCGUAAUGCCAUUAAUUUGGUGUUGCGGGGAAUUUGGACUGUUACUUGGAAAAAAUUAGAGUGUUUAAAGCAGGCUAACGCUUGAAUACAUUAGCAUGGAAUAAUGAAAUAGGACGUUCGAUCUUAUUUUGUUGGUUUCUAGGAUUGACGUAAUGAUUAAUAGGGAUAGUUGGGGGCAUUAGUAUUCAAUUGUCAGAGGUGAAAUUCUUGGAUUUAUUGCAGACUAACUACUGCGAAAGCAUUUGCCAAGGAUGUUUUCAUUAAUCAAGAACGAAAGUUAGGGGAUCGAAGACGAUCAGAUACCGUCGUAGUCUUACCAUAACUAUGCCGACUAGGGAUCGGAUGAUGUUAAUUUUUUAAUGACUCAUUCGGCGCCUUACGGGAAAC
rnacentral:rRNA from 1 species